rnacentral:lncRNA from 1 species
AUGAAAAAAUUAAUGCCAGUUGUACAAAUCUAUAGACUUAAAAGGCAACUAGGAAAGGACAAAGAGUCCUGCACAGUACUGCGUCGCUUUUAUGUGUCCUACAACUUAAUUAUUAAGAACAAGGAGGUUGUGGGGUACUUCUGUUACCUCAGAGCCCCUCCUCCUCGGAACUCCUUUGCAGCAGAAUUUUCUGGUAAGCAUCCUGUGCAUCCAAUAACUUUUGGGGUUUUGCCGUUUUUCUUUUUAUUCUAAUGACUAUAUUUGUGUAGCUCAAAGUAUCUACAUAGCAUUUGCCUCCCAUUCCACAUAGGAAACUGAGACAGAGAAAAAUGAGUUGCACUCAAGACAACAAUGUCAGCAUAGGAAUAUGAUUUAUAUUUGAGUCCACAUCUUUUCUGUCUAGUGACUUGUUCCAUCCUCUUCUUUUCCAGCUGACUAGGUCAAUUGUCCUUUAGUGGAGGGAAACACAUUGAAGCAAUACAAUGUUCCUUUCAGAUGCAAACUAUACAGAGUUUCCUAGCUGUCUAACUCCAAACCAGCAAACCUAUACCUGUAAAUCACACCUGUAUUAAGAGAUUUUCCACAAUAAAGAUUCUAGUGUGAACUAACUGAACUUCUGA